UACGUAGGGUGCAAGCGUUAAUCGGAAUUACUGGGCGUAAAGAGCGUGUAGGCGGCCAGGUAGGUCGGUUGUGAAAACUGGAGGCUCAACCUUCAGAGGUCGACCGAAACCAUCUGGCUAGAGUCCGGGAGAGGAGAGUGGAAUUCCUGGUGUAGCGGUGAAAUGCGCAGAUAUCAGGAAGAACACCCGUGGCGAAAGCGGCUCUCUGGAACGGUACUGACGCUGAGACGCGAAAGCGUGGGGAGCGAACAGG
rnacentral:rRNA from 1 species